rnacentral:rRNA from 1 species
UACGUAGGGGGCAAGCGUUGUCCGGAUUUAUUGGGCGUAAAGAGCGUGUAGGCGGUUUGGUAGGUCCGCUGUGAAAACUCGAGGCUCAACCUCGAGACGCCGGUGGAAACCAUCAGACUAGAGUCCGGAAGAGGAGAGUGGAAUUCCUGGUGUAGCGGUGAAAUGCGCAGAUAUCGGGAAGAACACCUAUGGCGAAGGCAGCUCUCUGGGACGGUACUGACGCUGAGACGCGAAAGCGUGGGGAGCGAACAGG